rnacentral:rRNA from 1 species
AACAAGGCCUUUACUGACGCUAAAGCUCGAAGGUGCGGGUAUCGAACAGGAUUAGAUACCCUGGUAGUCCGCACGGUAAACGAUGGAUGCCCGCUGUUUGCGAUAUACUGUGAGCGGCCAAGAGAAAUCGUUAAGCAUCCCACCUGGGGAGUACGCCGGCAACGGUGAAACUCAAAGGAAUUGACGGGGGCCCGCACAAGCGGAGGAACAUGUGGUUUAAUUCGAUGAUACGCGAGGAACCUUACCCGGGCUUGAACUGCAGCGGAAGGAUACAGAAAUGUUGACGCCCUUCGGGGCCGCUGUGGAGGUGCUGCAUGGUUGUCGUCAGCUCGUGCCGUGAGGUGUCGGCUUAAGUGCCAUAACGAGCGCAACCCUUUUCAUUAGUUGCCAUCAGGUAAUGCUGGGCACUCUGGUGAUACUGCCACCGUAAGGUGUGAGGAAGGUGGGGAUGACGUCAAAUCAGCACGGCCCUUACGUCCGGGGCUACACACGUGUUACAAUGGGAGGUACAGAGAGACGGUUGUACGUAAGUGCGAUCAAAUCCUAAAAGCCUUCCUCAGUUCGGAUUGGGGUCUGCAACCCGACCCCAUGAAGCUGGAUU